AUUUGAUGUAUCCAUUUGGCUAUACCCAUGCUGCACUUCCAGGUACCUAUUAGAAAUUCCGGACAGAGUUAUUCUUGUCUACAAAUUCAUCUCUUCUCUUACCUUGCACCAGAUUAUAAAUCUCUAUAGUACAUACCAUUAACCUUAUAUUCAUCCUGGUUGGUGCCUGGCUCACUGGAGAGGCACACACACAUUUAGCAUGGGGACAAAAGUAAUUAUGACAGGAGUAAAUAAAUGAAUAAACAAAUGAAAGUUCCUCAAUAGGUUGAACGGUGGGGGACAUAUAUCAUAAUUUAUGCUAUAUAGUUGUAACUAGAAAAUAAUUGUUUCUUUUUUUUUUUUUUUUUUUGUUUUUCUCCGGUACCAGGAACCGAACUCACGACCUUGCGCUUGCCAGGAAGGUGCUUUGCCGCUGAGCUAAAUCCCCAGCCCAGUUGUUUCUUAUGUUGAUAAUAAGCCAGUGGUUCUCAAUGGGAUCAGAAUCACCGAGACUCCCUGUUUAAACACAGAUUGUGGGCCUCGGCCUGAGGUUUGAUUUUGUAAUUCUGAGAUUGACCAUCUCUGACAAAUCCUAAGAUGAAACUGAUGCCAGAGUUCAAGCACCAGAUUUUGAGACUGUCUAUGAUGUUAUUGUAGCAUAGUAAUUUCAUGUGUUUCAUUAUUCCGUAAUCACUUUUAUCCAAUUAGCUCUUAUCUACUUCUCCAGGAGCAUAUUUGUCAUACUUUCGGAACAGUUUUGUCGCCGUGACUGAUGGAGAACAGUGUGCAUGGCUGGCAUGGUUUGGAAACUUGGUUUUUUUUAGCCAGUGAUGGAAUCCAAAGGAAUCCUUUAUCAGAGUCCUCACCUCCGACAGGAAAGAAUCUUUUGCUAGAUUAUGGAUCCAUGAUUGUAUAAAGGAAGAUUGGGAAGAUUUAUUUUGGCGCAAAGUAACUGUGUGAUUUGGAUGCUUGGACCUUCAUCUACCAAAUUCUGCUUCAUAUUUGGAGACGAGUAUGCGUUGAGAAAACUACAGAAAUAGAUUCGGUGGGAGGCAGACACUCGGCCUCCCAAGGAGCUAUCCGCGGUCUCUCUGCAGUCUACAGUAUUUGGGCAAAGACCAAUUUUUGUCUGUUUUAUGGCACUGCUCUGAUUCCCUCCUUCCCCACACAACCUUCCCCUGAAAACUGAACUGUAUGCUGCUGCUGACAGCAGUUUCAGUAAUUCUCAGAAGACUGAAACAUUUGAGUUUCAUUCUCUCUCUGCAUGUUUGUCUAUAGAUUUAAAAUAUCCUAAAAGUUACUAAAACAAUGCUUAUUUGGUAACUAUUACAACUGCUAGAACAUCAUUUCCUCAAUUUUACCAACCCCCUGUGCAAAAAUGUUUCUUUUGGGUAUUGCUUCAUUGCUAAAGGCAAAAUAAAAAAGAAUUGUGAUGACAAAUUCCUAAGAGAUGUUCUACUAUUUGCUCAGCCAGUUUAAAGUAUGACUGCUCACUUGAAAAAGAUACAAAUAAAAAAUUACCUGUUCAGCAGAAUUUGCUUCUGUUUUACUCCCUAGGUUUACUGCCUGGUUAUGGUUUAAUAACACAAUAUACUCUAGAUCACUGUCGCUGUAAAACCGACAGGCAGGGAAUCCACUACAGUCAGAUACCGUCCCACUCUGCGUAAAUAAAUGAAAUCUUGAAGUUGGAGCU
rnacentral:lncRNA from 1 species